ACUUAAAUUGAAGAGUUUGAUCAUGGCUCAGAUUGAACGCUGGCGGCAGGCCUAACACAUGCAAGUCGAGCGGUAACACAGGGAGCUUGCUCCCGGGUGACGAGCGGCGGACGGGUGAGUAAUGUCUGGGAAACUGCCUGAUGGAGGGGGAUAACUACUGGAAACGGUAGCUAAUACCGCAUAACGUCGC
rnacentral:rRNA from 1 species